CUCUGACAUGGCGACUGUUACUCAGUCUCAUUUGCCACCAAUUCCCUUCCCCUUGCACUUCCUCUUGCCAAAUAUAUUUGGAGUGACAAUGAGAGAUUCCAAAUGAUGUGAAGAAAUAAACUUCUCCUGGGUAAGACAAGACCAGCUUCUGUAGAAGGCUCAGCAUGACUCUACUCACAUACAUCAGACUGUGAGUUGGCAGUAGAAGAGAUCUAGGAUUUUGUGUUUGUGGCCAAGACCAAAGGG
rnacentral:lncRNA from 1 species